UCGAUUGAUGGCACUGACACCGCGCCAGUGUUUUGCACUGGAACGGUGCCAAUGGAACACUCCAAUGCAAAUCGAGUGCAGACUUGAAUGUGUGCGUGUAGUUGCCCGAGCUGUCAUUUAACAGCUGAUGUUUUGCACUUUUUCAACAUUUAACUUUCCCGUGCUGUUUAGUGGAAUGUAUAUUCACUUUUUGCUAUUUACAAGCGGAAAAAAGUUUUUCUCCCCACAAACAGACCGAUCAUCCGGUCGCUUCUGCAAUAUGGAAACUAAACAGAAUAAGGAGGAUACUGCUCGUGGAUGCUUAGCCACAGUGUGGCUCCCUGGCAAUAAACUGAUAUCCUAAUUUUGUCAAUGAAUAUUCAAUACCUUUCCGGAGAUGGUUCAGGAUUGAUAACAUGAUGAGGGAGUUCAGCAAUUCACACCUAUCCAUAUCUUUACUUGACGCAAUGUUGAAUUUUUGUGCCUACCUGCGGACCACAAUGGGCUAUCGUUGCGCACAAUUCGUAAAUUAAUUUCCUGUCGAAGCUCGCAGAAACUGUUACGAUGCAAACCGACAAAUAAUCGAAUCGAUUGCUAUAAUGAGCUGCGGAAGGCUGAUGACGAAUUUGUUUCUUAAAGCCUAACUAAAUUACCAUGUUCUCGAGCUGGUGUUGCUUCGCCAACAACGACAAACAAGAAAUUAAAGUGCUGGACGGCUGGAGAAAUUGGUAGUGAAUUUUGAUUUUGAAACCAGUUUAAAAGAAAUUACGGUCUGUAUCAGCUAAUUUGGCAUUUUAUUGAAUACAGGCAACCGGAAGUGACGUAACUCCACUAAAGUAUUAGAGCUAAACUGCCUGUAAUUGGAAGUCAGUCCCAUAUAGUUAGAGAUCCCUUUAGAACAUGGGACUGACUUGCGAUUAUGGGCAGUAAAUGCUGUACUCGAAUUUGUUCCGACUGGGACAUUUUCUGCUCUUAUUUUAGUUAUUUGUUCAAUGUUUUAUGAGAAACAUUAAUCGGCUGGAAUAAAGUUCAAAACACUAGAA